rnacentral:rRNA from 1 species
UACAGAGGUCUCAAGCGUUUGUUCGGAUUCAUUGGGCGUAAAGGGUGCGUAGGCGGCGUGGUAAGUCGGAUGUGAAAUCUCGGAGCUUAACUCCGGAACUGCAUUCGAUACUGCCGUGCUUGAGGACUGGAGAGGAGACUGGAAUUUACGGUGUAGCGGUGAAAUGCGUAGAUAUCGUAAGGAGGACCAGUGGCGAAGGCGGGUCUCUGGACAGUUCCUGACGCUGAGGCACGAAGGCCAGGGGAGCAAACGGG